AACGAACGCUGGCGGCAGGCUUAACACAUGCAAGUCGAGCGCCCCGCAAGGGGAGCGGCAGACGGGUGAGUAACGCGUGGGAACGUACCUUUUGGUUCGGAACAACUCCGGGAAACUGGAGUUAAUACCGGAUAAGCCCUAACGGGGAAAGAUUUAUCGCCGAAAGAUCGGCCCGCGUCUGAUUAGCUAGUUGGUGAGGUAACGGCUCACCAAGGCGACGAUCAGUAGCUGGUCUGAGAGGAUGAUCAGCCACACUGGGACUGAGACACGGCCCAGACUCCUACGGGAGGCAGCAGUGGGGAAUAUUGGACAAUGGGCGCAAGCCUGAUACAGCCAUGCCGCGUGAGUGAUGAAGGCCUUAGGGUUGUAAAGCUCUUUUGUCCGGGAAGAUAAUGACUGUACCGGAAGAAUAAGCCCCGGCUAACUUCGUG
rnacentral:rRNA from 1 species